rnacentral:rRNA from 1 species
UACGGGGGGGGCAAGCGUUGUUCGGAAUUACUGGGCGUAAAGGGCGCGUAGGCGGUUGGAUAAGUCAGCUGUGAAAACCACGGGCUUAACUCGUGGCCUGCAGUUGAGACUGUCUGGCUUGAGUGUGGGAGAGGAGAGUGGAAUUCCUGGUGUAGCGGUGAAAUGCGUAGAUAUCAGAAGGAACGCCGGUGGCGAAAGCGGCGAACUGGAUCUCUUCUGACGCUGAGGCGCGAAAGCUAGGGGAGCAAACGGG